rnacentral:tRNA from 1 species
GGGGAUGUGGCUCAGCAGUAGAGCACUCACCUAGCACGUGUGAGACCCUGGGUUCAAUCCUCAGCACCA